rnacentral:sRNA from 1 species
UGUCCUUGCCCUCCUUGGGCGUUUCCUCCCUAGAUUCGACCGCGUCGUGCAAACGGGGCGGUCUUUUUUUGCCUAUU